GCUAGGCGGAGCCCUACCACACUGCUGAAAGCUAAGAAGCCCUACACCAGGCCACACACAGCAAUGUCCAGAUCAGCCUGUGUAGUGUGAGACAUAACACCCAUGGAUCAGUGGGCACCCUGUGCCAUUAUUAUGUUCUGAUGUUUUACCCUGUAACCCACAUUGCAUUGUGUCUAACCCCCUAUCCUCCCUUUGCACAUAGCCAGGAGACAUUAGGGUGUACUCGGCAGGAUCUUAGUCUUUUCUCAGUUUAACUUUUUCGCUACUGGUUGUCCCUAUCUCCUGCAUUACAGAGUGUUUAUUUUGCAAUGACUAUGCAUUUGAUGCUACAUAUAAGCUGUCCUCUCGAAAGGCAAUACCCUCUCGUGCUGUCCAGGGCAGCACACUAAUCCUACACAUUAA